UAACGAGCCCUUUUAAUCCACAGAUCCAGCUGACAUGCCUGUUCCAUGGCUUCAGAUUGAGGCUACAGAGUGUGAAGGUGAACUGAAAGCUGAGUAUCAAUGGAGCUGUGGAGGACUGAGCAUUUCCCCCAGACAAAACAGGAAACACAGAAGCCAUCUACUCUGAGCAGUACAACUCUGUAAGGUCAGUUAUUUAGACAGGGUUAUCCUCUUCCUCUUUCUUUCUAUGGAAGGCCUCUGUGAGGACAAAGGACCAGUAGAUGACGGUGAUGGAGGUGUUGACAACAACGAUGCCGAUCAUGAUGGGGUGCAUCAUGGUGCCUGAGGUGUUGGUAGGUUGAGGGAAGGCCGGGCACUGUUUCCACAGCUCUGUGUUUAGCUACAUUUAGUGCACAGGAAUGAGUCGUUCAUCCCCAUUUUACUAUAGGUGUGGCCCUCCCUCUCAGCAUGCUGGUAAUUCUCUAUCCCUCCAGAGCUGACAGCUGCCUUUCUUUCCACUCUCUGCAGAGCUCACAACUGAAGAUGCACACAUACUGUACAUUACACGAACAAUGUCUUUCCCCUGAUCCGGGUUAUGAAAAGAGUAUGUUUGUACUGUUAAGUGGCUAAAUUCCCAAUCUGACCCUCAAACCGUCACAGUCACCUAAUAAUCCCCAGUUUAUGAUUGGCUCAUUCAUCCCCCUCUCCCCUGUAACCAUUCCCCAGGGCGUUGCUGUAAAUUAGAACGUGUUCUCUGUCAACUUACCUAGUAAAAUAAUGGAAAAAAAUAAAGUGUAAAUGCUACAUUUACAUUCCAUUUGUAAUCUUUGUCAAAGCACAGAGGAUAUCAAUGUGUUUCAGUGUGAAUGAGAAAGCUGAAGGGAAAUAACUUGUAGAGUAUUUCCAAAUUCAUAUGACCCUAUUAUUAAUGUCUCUGAUGGCGGAGUAUGAGUGGCUGUGUGAUUAGCCAUCAUGAUGCAAUACCUCUGACUGGGCUAGAACACAGGCAAGAUACUGCCAUGAAAGUGCUAAACGACACCAUUGUUGUAUUGUCUCAAUGUUAUUACCUAAGACUUUAUUUUCAUUUGAGAUUAAAAAUAAAUGCGAAUGAAAGAGCAGAAAAGUGGAUUAACAAUCUUGAUUGACAAAUCAGGUUUGGAUUUCAGACGCUUAUCAGAUCAUUCUGAAUUAAAGAUGAAUGUGAAUGGUUCACUGAGCUUAGGGGGAAAAGCAUUACAUUAUCUUGACAAUUUAUUCAUGUAGCUUCCAUGAAAACAAUGAAUAAACAAACUAAAACAUGGCUGAAUGCCCUGUAAUAUCAUUAUUACACUGCCUUGUCUCAGAGGCCAACAAUCACUGGCAAGAGUCAAGAUCGUUUCAAUGAAUGAAAAUGGGUCUUAAGUGAUCAUGAGUUAUGACAUCUGCAGUGCUGUAUAGCAGUUCUCCUAUAGCUUCCAAUGUCCAUGCUUGCCGUUUGGCCCUCACUGUUCCCCCUGCAGUCGUAGUAGUCCGUCAGCGUACUGGAACUGUGUGCCGUUCUCAUACUCCAGCAUGUCCAGGGCUACCUCACAGCUCUCCUUCACCACGCGCUCUGUGU